rfam:Stegodyphus mimosarum contig3776, whole genome shotgun sequence.
GCCUUUGUGGUGUAGUGGUCAGCACAGUCGACGCGUAUUCGAGAGGUCCGUAGUUAGAAUCCAGGCGAGGGCA